rnacentral:rRNA from 1 species
CGGAGCUUGCUCCACCGGAAAAAGAAGAGUGGCGAACGGGUGAGUAACACGUGGGUAACCUGCCCAUCAGAAGGGGAUAACACUUGGAAACAGGUGCUAAUACCGUAUAACAAUCGAAACCGCAUGGUUUUGAUUUGAAAGGCGCUUUCGGGUGUCGCUGAUGGAUGGACCCGCGGUGCAUUAGCUAGUUGGUGAGGUAACGGCUCACCAAGGCCACGAUGCAUAGCCGACCUGAGAGGGUGAUCGGCCACAUUGGGACUGAGACACGGCCCAAACUCCUACGGGAGGCAGCAGUAGGGAAUCUUCGGCAAUGGACGAAAGUCUGACCGAGCAACGCCGCGUGAGUGAAGAAGGUUUUCGGAUCGUAAAACUCUGUUGUUAGAGAAGAACAAGGAUGAGAGUAACUGUUCAUCCCUUGACGGUAUCUAACCAGAAAGCCACGGCUAACUACGUGCCAGCAGCCGCGGUAAUACGUAGGUGGCAAGCGUUGUCCGGAUUUAUUGGGCGUAAAGCGAGCGCAGGCGGUUUCUUAAGUCUGAUGUGAAAGCCCCCGGCUCAACCGGGGAGGGUCAUUGGAAACUGGGAGACUUGAGUGCAGAAGAGGAGAGUGGAAUUCCAUGUGUAGCGGUGAAAUGCGUAGAUAUAUGGAGGAACACCAGUGGCGAAGGCGGCUCUCUGGUCUGUAACUGACGCUGAGGCUCGAAAGCGUGGGGAGCAAACAGGAUUAGAUACCCUGGUAGUCCACGCCGUAAACGAUGAGUGCUAAGUGUUGGAGGGUUUCCGCCCUUCAGUGCUGCAGCUAACGCAUUAAGCACUCCGCCUGGGGAGUACGACCGCAAGGUUGAAACUCAAAGGAAUUGACGGGGGCCCGCACAAGCGGUGGAGCAUGUGGUUUAAUUCGAAGCAACGCGAAGAACCUUACCAGGUCUUGACAUCCUUUGACCACUCUAGAGAUAGAGCUUCCCCUUCGGGGGCAAAGUGACAGGUGGUGCAUGGUUGUCGUCAGCUCGUGUCGUGAGAUGUUGGGUUAAGUCCCGCAACGAGCGCAACCCUUAUUGUUAGUUGCCAUCAUUCAGUUGGGCACUCUAGCAAGACUGCCGGUGACAAACCGGAGGAAGGUGGGGAUGACGUCAAAUCAUCAUGCCCCUUAUGACCUGGGCUACACACGUGCUACAAUGGGAAGUACAACGAGUCGCGAAGUCGCGAGGCUAAGCUAAUCUCUUAAAGCUUCUCUCAGUUCGGAUUGUAGGCUGCAACUCGCCUACAUGAAGCCGGAAUCGCUAGUAAUCGCGGAUCAGCACGCCGCGGUGAAUACGUUCCCGGGCCUUGUACACACCGCCCGUCACACCACGAGAGUUUUAACACCCGAAGUCGGUGAGGUAACCUUUG